CUAAAAAAAAAAGGUUCCUUGAGGUUCUAUAUAGAACCGUUGGGUUCUAUACUUGGCCAAUAGAACCUUUUACCAAAAAAAGGGUUCCAUAUAGAACCCUUGGAAGGCAAAGAACCAUUUUUAUUAAAAUGGUUCUAUAAUUCACGUUUUCUGACUGAAGUGUAAACUAAAGAUUACACAAUAAUUGCAGACCUACACAACUCAUUUACAAACCUACACAACUCAUUCACAAACCUUUUUGUGUCAAUUGGCUGUGGUCAAAAAAAGAGAGAGUCAACAAAUAGGUUAUUAAUAUUUAGUGUAUGAUUUAUUUCCUGUGAGCUUUUUUAUGCAAGUUUGUACAUUAGCAUGAAACUUACAGUGCAGUUUGCGUUUCUGGUGAAUUAUCAGGUGUUUUCUUUAUUUUGUACAUUCUAUAAUGUCAAUGUUUGUUUAAUUUAACCUGAAGGGGCAUUAAAAACAAAUAAUCGCAAAAGUGCCCUCUGGUGGCGUAUAUAUGCGUUGCACCAGAAGAUGAGCCUCGUGACGUGACAGUUUUUUUUCAAACUGAGGUGAGGAGUUCGGACUCCGGACCGGCAUUUCUGCUUGUUUGUACCCUGUCCCUGAGAUAACCAUGGUUAUUAAAUGGUCAGACACGUCACUGGCUUUAAAAUAUAAACCCCAUUGAUGCAAAAAGAUGCUGCAUGGAAUGACAAUGAGGUUUGGAACAGACUUGGUGAAGAACAUGGAAACAUCUCUAAAUAAAAUGGCCCCAAACAUCAUCAGGAGUGCAAAAGAAGGAAGUAAAAACAUCUCUACGCCAAUCUCAUUGGAGAGGAAACCACAGAAGGUCUGGUGAGGAAUGCUGCACUUAUGUUAUUGUCAGCAUUAUUUCAAGAAAAUCCCAGCUUCCUUGACUGUGUAAAUUGUGAACCCAAAGGUCCCACACCAACCAUAGUGUUCAACGGCUCUCCUGAUCUUCUCAAAUCUGAAAGUAUCAACUUUAUAAUGGACAAUGUGAACUUAAUAUGUGGAAGACAUUGACAUCACAGGCUGUGGAAUGACUGUGUCACAGGUCGGAGAAGCGGACCGCCCCUGUCGCGGAUCACGCUCCUCCUAGUUCCACCUCGAGGAGGUCCCAAAGCACCCCAAUGACCAGACAAACCAGAGAUAAGUAAAAUAUAAAAAUAGAAACAUUAUUUAAAUUAUUUAAAACUAAAGUGGGGAAUGGGAAAGGGAAUCUAAAAAUCUCGCUUCUCGCCCUCAGGGGGAGUAUUACGGGGCCAGGGACGUUGGAGGGGUUUCCACGUGACUCCACCUCGAACACCGCUACAGAGCGUAUCUGGGUGGGUUGGGCACACACCGUCGCGGCGGCCCCUGAUUGUAUCCACAAUGGUCCAAGACCCUCCUAAGCUCCCAGCCGUAGCAGAACUACGUAUUUCAGCACCCGAACGACUAACAACCCAGCCGGCAUCUGCAGCGUAUAUCCAACGCGAUCAAACUUCACUCUGACAAGUAACUUCCUAUACACAACCACGCCGUCCUUUCGCCCGGACCAGCCCCGCACUCUUUCCGCCCGCUACCUAGCGGUCGCCGGAUCAGCAGAGCCUGCGGACUCUUCGGAGGCUGGUCUUCGUUGUGCUGCCCAAGGCGGAAGUUUACUUCCAGUAACUUCUAUCUUCUCUCUUUAUAUCCUCCUCCAUGGCGUGGCUCGCCCAACCAUCGCUCGCCACGUCACUCACACAGCUGUGCCUUGUUUCAGCGAGUGCGGGGAUUCCCGGGGAACCCGGAAGUGCCGGUGUCUGUACAAACCGGUCCGGGCGGAACCUCUUCACUCUCCUUUUGGUUCCGCCCCGCAUAGUCACUCCGUGACAACUGUUUGCGUUUUUUUUUCUCCUCAAUGUUCAAUACCCUUUUGCCAUUAAGCACACAGUGACUUUAAUUUAUAAAAUAUAUGCUUAAGUUUUAAUACCUGUACAAAACAAAUGUACAAUCAACUUGUGUAAAUUGUCAUUCUAUUUUAUAGAUUGUUCAUGAAUUGUCUUUAAAUGCAUUGUGAUUUCGGUAACACUUUACAAUAAGGUUCAUUAGUUAACAUUAGUUAAUGUAUUAACUAACUUGAACAAACCAUAAGCAAUACAUUUGUUACAGUAUUUAUCCAUCUUUGUUAAUGUUAGUUAAUUCAAAUUUAAGCUUUAAUUGCUUGUUCAUGUUAGUUCAGAGUGCAUUAACUAAUGUUAACAAGAUUUUAAUAAAGUAUAAGUAAUUGUUGAAAUUAACAUUAACAAAGAUUAAUAAAUGCUGUAUAAGUGCAGUUCAUUAUUAGUUCAUGUUAACUAAUGUAGCUAACUAAUGUUAACUAAUGAACCUUAUUGUAAAGUGUUACCGUGAUUUCUUUUCAUCAUUUCAGACACAUGUAAGUUACUAAAAAUUAGUACUGCAUAUACUGUACAGUAUCUAUGCGUAAGGGAAAUAACUUGAACAAAAUUUUUAAUGUAUAGUGUAAUUAAGAGUUUAGCUGUUUAAUACAGAGAUGCAAUUUAUUUAUAUAUAUAUAUAUAUAUAUAUAUAUAUAUAUAUAUAUAUAUAUAUAUAUAUAUAUAUAUAUAUAAUUUAUGUAUAAACGUAUGUAUGUUUAUUAAAAAGUGAAAAUGCUUAAUGGAAAUAAUUAAAUAACUAAAUGGUUGAAUGUAAUGAGACAUUUUAAAUGUAAACUAAAGUUUUGCUGUCUAAUACAGAAUAAAGAGAUGUGAUUUUAAGUAAUUUUUAUAGAUUUAUAUUUCUGUAUAAUAAAAUUAAUAAAUAAUAAACUUUUAUAAUUUUCUGGA